rnacentral:tRNA from 1 species
GCCCGCUUAGCUCAGUGGUAGAGCGCAUCACUAGUAAACACCUUUCCACGGUCAUGAUGAGGUCGCCAGUUCAAUUCUGGUAGCGGGCA